UACGUGAGGUGGCAAGCGUUGUCCGGAAUUACUGGGUGUAAAGCGCGUGUAGGCGGGAGGCCAAGUCUGCUGUGAAAUCGCCCGGCUCAACUGGGCGGGGUCGGUGGAAACUGGGUCACCUGGAGGACGGUAGAGGCGAGUGGAAUUCCCGGUGUAGUGGUGAAAUGCGUAGAGAUCGGGAGGAACACCAGUGGCGAAGGCGGCUCGCCUGGGC
rnacentral:rRNA from 1 species